rnacentral:rRNA from 1 species
AUGCAAGUCGAGUGCGCGCCUGUAGCAAUACAGGUGGCGCACGGCGCACGGGUGCGUAACACGUGGGUAAUCUGCCCUCUGAUGGGGAAUAACUCGCCGAAAGGCGAGCUAAUUCCGCAUAAUAUUCCGAGAACUUUGGUUUUUGGACUGAAAGGCGUAAGUCGUCGGAGGAGGAGCCCGCGCACGAUUAGCUAGUUGGUAGGGUAAUGGCCUACCAAGGCUUUGAUCGUUAGCUGGUCUGAGAGGAUGGCCAGCCACACUGGAACUGAGACACGGUCCGGACUCCUACGGGAGGCAGCAGUGGGGAAUCUUGCACAAUGGGCGAAAGCCUGAUGCAGCGACGCCGCGUGGGGGAUGAAGCUUCUCGGAGUGUAAACCCCUUUCGAUCCGGACGAAACCCCGCAAGGGAUUGACGGUACGGAUAUAAGAAGCCCCGGCUAACUACGUGCCAGCAGCCGCGGUAAUACGUAGGGGGCCAGCGUUGUUCGGAAUUACUGGGUGUAAAGGGUUCGUAGGCGGUGCGGCAAGUUGGGAGUGAAAUCUCUGGGCUUAACCCAGAGACGGCUUCCAAAACUGCUGUGCUUGAGUGUGGGAGAGGCUCGUG